CUCCCACCGGGGCCCUCUCUGCGCUUUAGCUAACGUGGCCUUAAGCCCCGCGGUGGAUGAAUGACCGACGCCGCCGCCGCUGCUGCUGCUCGUCCCGCCGUUCCGUCUGCAUCCCUAAGCCGCUCUGAAGCAACAUGUCUGAGGCUGAGCAGGUCCCGGCCUCGGCCCCGGACGCCGCCGUCCUGGACGCCCUGAACGGCACCGACUCUAACGGCACCGAGGCGCUGAACGCCACCGCUAAGUUCGUGGCGACCCCGGAGGGCACGGCGCUGGCGUACGGCAGCCUGGUGCUCAUGGCCCUGCUGCCCAUCUUCUUCGGGGCUCUGCGCUCCGUCAGCUGCUCAAAGUCCAAGGAGCUCGGAGAAAAUGGUUCCGAUUCUGGGUUCAGAAAUGCAGCUGAUAUGCCAGAAACCAUCACCAGUCGGGAUGCAGCCCGGUUCCCCAUCAUCGCCAGCUGUACUCUGUUUGGACUCUACCUGUUCUUCAAGGUGUUUUCUCAGGAGUACAUCAACCUGCUGCUGUCCGUCUACUUCUUUGUUCUGGGAGUUCUGGCUCUGUCUCACACUAUGAGUCCUCUGAUGUCCAGAAUCUUUCCAGCUUCUUGUCCCAACAAACAGUACCAGCUGCUGUUCACUCAGGGCUCUGGAGAGUCCAAAGAAGAAAUCGUCAACUAUGAGUUUGACACCAAGAACCUGGUGUGUCUGGUGAUCAGCAGCGUGGUCGGGGUCUGGUACCUGCUGAAGAAGCACUGGAUCGCCAACAACCUGUUCGGUCUGGCCUUUGCCCUGAACGGAGUGGAGCUGCUGCACCUCAACAACGUCAGUACCGGCUGCAUCCUGCUGGGGGGGCUGUUUGUCUACGACGUCUUCUGGGUGUUUGGGACCAACGUCAUGGUAACGGUUGCCAAAUCAUUCGAAGCACCAAUCAAAUUGGUGUUUCCUCAGGACUUGUUGGAGAAAGGGCUUGAAGCCAGUAACUUCGCCAUGUUGGGACUCGGAGACAUCGUUAUUCCAGGAAUCUUCAUCGCUCUGCUGCUGCGCUUUGACGUCAGCCUAAAGAAGAACAGCAGGACGUACUUCUACUCCAGUUUUCUGGCCUACAUCUUCGGCCUGGGCCUCACCAUCUUCGUCAUGCACACCUUCAAACAUGCACAGCCGGCUCUGCUCUACCUGGUUCCGGCCUGCGUUGGGUUCCCCGUCAUCGUAGCUCUGUUCAAAGGAGAACUCACAGAGAUGUUCAGUUAUGAAUCUUCAGAUGAACUCCUUCCUGGUUCUCCCAGACUCACUUCCUUUCCCACCAUCAGCGGUUCUCCUGCCAGCCUGGCGAGCUCUAUGGAUGCCAUCUCCAUGGCGACAGGCUCCUCCCCUCGCCGUCGUCGGGUACAGCCCACCUCUAUGUAGAAGCCCCGCCCCCUUCUGUCUUUACUGCCCCCUUCCUAUCUCACCUGGGCAGGUACGAGGAGGCUUCACCUGAGGAGGCGGGAUCUAAAGAUGAGUCAUCAGAAUCAGAGAAAAAGGACCAAUAGGAUCCAUCGCUGCCCCCCUCUGCCCCCCUCCAUCCUCCAUCACUUUCAUCCAACCAGCUGCCGCCAUAUUUCACUGAAGCCCCGCCCCCUCCGCCUGUCCAGCUUCCUGUUCGGGGCCCCGGGGCUCGUGUUGCCAACGCGUUUGUGUCUGAUCGCCGGGGAACGGCUGCUGGUGUCCACGGCAACGGCUGCUGCCUGUCGGCGGUGGCGUCCGGAGGUUGGGCGUCCGCUCGCAUCAUUGCCAUUGCAUCACGUGUUUGCAGCUCGCCGCCUCUGAUUGGCCAGCAACUGUCUGCAGGAGCGUCGGUGAAGCGGUGCCGCUCACGUUUGAUUUCCUGCUUCGUCUUCAGAAGAACCCGAAGUUCUUCUUCUCUGCUUCUGCUGCUUCACGUCUACGUCCUUCCUGCCAGCGGCCACAACGUCAACACGGAAGUCUUCACAUCUAAAGCUGCCCCAGAGAAACAACAGACCCCAGAAACUUGGUUCCUCCUGAAUGUAAACCUCUGAAAACACGUUUUUACUGAACAGCUGCUCACUAACAGGAGGACUAUUUCCAGCGGCGGAUGAAUCCACAUUCAGAGCCGUAGCGAGUCUCAGAGGUUCAGUAAAAAUAAAAACCUUCAAAACAAAUCAUCUUUAAAGCCAAAGAUGAAAAUAAAACGUUUCUUCAGUUUAAAAUCAUUCUAGGAAGCUCACAAAUUAAAGUCAAAGUUUGUGAAACUGACAGAAAAAGGUCAAAAGUUUGAUUCAUGGUGAAAAAGUAAAAACUACUUUAUCAAGAAUCAGUUAAAAAUCUGAAUAUUCCAGGCGUUGAUCCUAAAACUGAUCGUCAGCAUUGAGAAUAAAACCAGAUUUCAUCCAGUUUGAUCCUUUAAAGGAGCCUGAAGCUGAUCCUCCUGUUUCUGAUCCGCUGCUCAGAGUUUUAUCUUUUUUAUCUUUUAUCUUCUUCUUCUCAUGAAGCCUCGUUUGUCUGAAAAUUAAAUCAUAGAUCCUCUGGAGGCGCUUCGAUUCAUUUCAUGGAUCUAAAACAGGUUCCAAUCUUGAAGUUGUGGCCGAAGGGAGGCGACUGAACGCUUCACUUAAGUCCUCUCAUUCUCACACCUGAUUGGUCGAUGGGCUGCGAGGGGUGGAGCCCCACAGCUUCCUCAUCCAAUCAGCUGCAAAAAUGAGCCCAGGAGGCGGAACAUUUGAGGGUUUUCACAGAAACGUCCUCAGACCUGAACUCUGUUCAUAUCAGUAACUUUAAUCUCUCUGCUGACCGAACAUCUGAGCAGCUUUGGUCCAUUUAGGACGAAUUAAGGAGGAUUUUUUUUUAACAUUCCCUGAUCAGUAAACUCUGUUUUCACGUCUUUUCAUUGAUAAAGCUUUAAAUCGAUGACGGAUCCGGUCAUCAGAUCAGACAACAAAUCUGAAAAGUGGCCAGGCUUCCCGCUAAAAGUCAGAAUUUUGGUGUUAAAGUUGGUUCAGCAUCUACAGACUAAACUAGAGAAACCAAGAGCUGCUGCUGGAGACUACAUUUCCCAUGAUGCAGCGUGAGUUAUUACAGCCUCCUUAAGUAAACUGAUCCAUACUGUUAAUAAAACCGACAGCUUCUGCCUUUUACAGUCGCCUUAUUUCACUGAUUAUGAGAAUUUAGUUUGCAGAGAAGUCCUGAUUUCACCAGAAGAUGUUUGCGAUGUUUCUCCUGAAGUGGAACCAUCUCAGCUGAGAUGUUUCAGGUUUGAGGACGCCAGAGGAACCUCCAGCCUCGUUACUAUUCUCUGUUGUUGAUGUGGAUGCUUUAUUAAGAGACGCACAGUUUUGUAUUUUGAUGUAAAAUAAAACAGUUCAUGAUCUUGUUCAGCUCGGUGAAGUUCAGCAGCUCCUCCUCAUUUCAAAUUUGAUGUAUCUGAAACAUUUUUCUGUUUCUCUUCUUCUCUGGUUGUAUUUGUGCAGGACGUCGUUUCACGGCUCUGACUGUAUCUUAUUUUAUUUGCAAUAAACUUUUUGGUGUUUUGAUCACCGUAUAGAGAAGCAAAA